rnacentral:tRNA from 1 species
GGCGCUCUGGUGUAAAGGCAGCAUAUGGGAUUCUGAUUGAAAUUGAAUGCAAGUUCCCAUAACCAAGGUUCGAAUCCUGGUAGUACCU